GACGAACGCUGGCGGCGUGCUUAACACAUGCAAGUCGAACGGAAAGGCCCUGCUUUUGUGGGGUGCUCGAGUGGCGAACGGGUGAGUAACACGUGAGUAACCUGCCCUUGACUUUGGGAUAACUUCAGGAAACUGGGGCUAAUACCGGAUAGGAGCUCCUGCUGCAUGGUGGGGGUUGGAAAGUUUCGGCGGUUGGGGAUGGACUCGCGGCUUAUCAGCUUGUUGGUUGGGUAGUGGCUUACCAAGGCUUUGACGGGUAGCCGGCCUGCGAGGGUGACCGGCCACACUGGGACUGAGAUACGGCACAGACUCCUACGGGAGGCAGCAGUGGGGAAUAUUGCACAAUGGGCGGAAGCCUGAUGCAGCAACGCCGCGUGCGGGAUGACGGCCUUCGGGUUGUAAACCGCAUUCGCCUGUGACGAAGCGUGAGUGACGGUAAUGGGUAAAGAAGCACCGGCUAACUACGUG
rnacentral:rRNA from 1 species